rnacentral:rRNA from 1 species
AUGGGUGAACACCUCGCGCUGCUGGUGGACCGCCUGCUCACGGAGUCCACGCUGGAGGCGGCCAUCGUGAGCAGGAAGCAGGCUGAGCCGGAGGACGCGCCGGCGGCGAUCGUCUACUGCUGUGACAUCGCCGCCGCAGGCGGCGACCCGAGCAAGAUGGUGGAGUGCAGGAUCUGCCAGGAGGAGGACUGGGACACCGGCAUGGAGGCCCCCUGCGCCUGCCGCGGCAGCCUCAAGUACGCGCACCGAAAAUGCAUCCAGCGCUGGUGCAACGAGAAAGGCGACACCGUCUGCGAAAUAUGCUUGCAGCAAUUCAGGCCAGGUUACACUGCCCCACAGCAGCUGUUCCACUAUGGAAGCAUACCAAUGAACUUCAGGGGGAACUGGGAAGUUGCGCGGCACGAUCUCCACGACUCGCAGGUCAUAACAAUGGUGCCCUCGGAGCGCGACUUCAUGGACGAGUACGACGACUACUUUCCGGUCAGGACGAGGAGCAGCGCCAUGUGUUGCCGGACAGUCGCCAUCAUUCUAUGUCAUUGUGAUCCAACAGUUCCUGGCCCUCCUGGUUCUCCGGCACACUCUCCCUCUCAUGGUCGGCGGCGACGGGGAGUACUCGUUUGCUCUGUUUUUGCCUCUGAUCUUGAAUUUUACCAUUUUUAUGGGGGCGGGAAAAAAACAGCUUCUUGUGCUGAGAACCGCCGGAAUUCUGUUUCCGAUCUUGGUGAUGGUGAGAGCAAUGGCGACCUUCCAUCGUCGUCGCCGCCAACAGAUCACUUGAUACUGCAGGGAAACCAGGGAACUUACAUGUUCUUCUCGGACACCGAGGACGAGGACGAGGAGGAAGAAGAGGAUGCCGAAUCCGAUCCUGCGCGGCCUCGCUACCAACCACGCCUUAUCCCCGUCUACUGA